AGGGCUAUCGGGUCAACAGCUCGUGUGACGGUGAAAUAGUCGCGCAUCACGAUCGAGUGUCUGCCCUC
rnacentral:sRNA from 1 species